GCGAACGGGUGAGUAACACGUGGGUGAUCUGCCCUGCACUUCGGGAUAAGCUUGGGAAACUGGGUCUAAUACCGGAUAGGACCAUCGCUUAGUGUCGGUGGUGGAAAGUUUUUUCGGUGUGGGAUGAGCUCGCGGCCUAUCAGCUUGUUGGUGGGGUAAUGGCCUACCAAGGCGUCGACGGGUAGCCGGCCUGAGAGGGUGUACGGCCACAUUGGGACUGAGAUACGGCCCAG
rnacentral:rRNA from 1 species